CAAUAGCGUAUACUUACGUUGUUGCAGUUAAAAGCUCGUAGUUGACUUGUUGGUGUUGUGUGCGCGUGAUGGUCCGUGGAAACGCGGUUUUCUCAUCAAUUGCGCACCCGCCAUACGGUGUCCCACUGUCGCGUUUGCGCGCGGCAGCGGUCACACCCUUUUACUUUGAGAAAAUUAGAGUGUUCAAAGCAGGCUUUUACAGCUCUGAAUACGUUAGCAUGGAAUAAUGAUGUAGGAUUCUGGUUCUAUUUUGUUGGUUUCAGAACUAGAGUAAUGAGAGAUAGGGAUGAUUGGGGGUGCUUGUAUUGGGCGGCCAGAGGUGAAAUUCUUUGAUUCGCUCAAGACAAACUAAUGCGAAAGCAUUCACCAAGGGCAUCUUCUUUAAUCAAGAACGAAAGUUGGGGGAUCGAAGAUGAUCAGAUACCAU
rnacentral:rRNA from 1 species